rnacentral:rRNA from 1 species
GUAACAAGGUUUCCGUAGGUGAACCUGCGGAAGGAUCAUUAACGAAUUAUUGAGGUUGUGCUGGUUCUUACAAGUGCACACCUCUUCAUUCAUUCACACCUGUGCACCCUUAGAGACGUUAUUACCCCCGUAUACGAAAACCUUAGGGUUAGGGUUAGCGGCUAUUACACACACUUUUAAAACAUUAUGAAUGUAAUCGCAGUAAUGCAAAAAAUAUAACUUUCAACAACGGAUCUCUUGGUUCUCGCAUCGAUGAAGAACGCAGCGAAAUGCGAUAAGUAAUGUGAAUUGCAGAAUUCAGUGAAUCAUCGAAUCUUUGAACGCACCUUGCGCUCCUUGGUAUUCCGAGGAGCAUGCCUGUUCGAGUGUCAUGAAACUCUCAAACCGUCAUCUUUUAUUGGAUGUUCGGGCUUGGAUUUGGAUGUUGCUGGGUCUUAACGACUCGGCUCGUCUUAAAAGCAUUAGCUGUCUCUCACGACUUCAGUUAACGGUGUGAUAAUUACAUCUACGCCGAAGCCUUCGGGCGCUGAGUCGGGUUAAAGCGGCUUCUAACCGUCUUCGGACAAUUUCAUUUCACAUCUGGCCUCGAAUCAGGUAGGACUACCCGCUGAACUUAA